rnacentral:ncRNA from 1 species
UUUAUCAAGAAAGGUGGAGGGACAGGCCCUUUGAAGCCUUGGCAAACGGUUAAAACCCAGUGCCAAUUCCUGUUCCGCUAACUAGCGGAUUAAGAUAAG